UCAGUUUGGGAUAAGGCAGAUUUGGCCAACUCCUGCAAUCUCGACUAGAGUGGAGUUACACAAGUAGGUGUUUUUCUAUUUCAAUUAUCUCAUGAUGGUCCAUUACCAUUAAGUAAAGUUUGGCAACUCAUAACAUCUAACGUGACAUGCAGGGUGGAUCGUAAGAAGAAGCGGAAGGUCUCUGAGUGGCACGAGUUCCACCAGGCUUACAUUGAGCAAUAGGAUCAGUUCCAUGACAACGUGGACGAG
rnacentral:lncRNA from 1 species